GAAAUGCAUAUGCUAACUCGUGGCUCAGAUUAUAUAGCGGACAAUGAUCCUGUACUUGCUGGUAUCCAAAAUUUCUAAGAAUUCACAUGCAGAGGAGAAAAAUCCAGGUACACAGUUGUCCGUGUUAAGAAUCAAAGGUUCCUGUCUCCUGUCCUGCAGUGCUGUCCUGCAAAACACCCUCAGUGCCGCUCCUAGAAUCCCUUGGGUGACUUAGAAGCAGAAAUGCUGUUUACAGGUCGGGAAGAAUUAUUGAGCCCUGAAGCACCAAGGUGAGCUACUGCAGCAGUACUGCUGCGGCCAACGGCCCCCUUGGACAGAAA